GGGGGCGUUUUAGAUUCGCUCGGGGGAGCGGCGGCGGACGUUGCGUGUCGAGAUUUCGCUUGACCUCGUAAAACAAGCGAAAAAUUUUUAACUGCCAAUAACGAAUACGCAUUAGCCGCUUAAAGCGGCUACAUCCUGCCCUCUUUGCCUGCGGUGAGGGAAUCGGGGUGUCAAAUUAGCAGGCUGCCCGCCAUAGCUUCUGUUCGCAGCUAUCAGGGGAGAUAAUCGAACUGGCUCUUGCCUGAUCCCGCUUCCGGGAGCGGGCAUUUGCGAGAAUAAAACGGAAGCUACACACGUAGACGCGGUUGUGGCCGCCCUUCGAUACAGGGGUGCAAGUCCCCUCGCCUCCGCCA
rnacentral:tmRNA from 1 species